GAAAUUUCGAGUAUUAAAGGUAAUAGUACACUUACUUUUGAUACUUCAAGAUCAUUAAAAGAUUUAAGAGAUGUAGCAUAUUGACCUUGUCUAAGUAACUCCUUUAAAUAGCACACAUGCAUUACUGAUAUGGCAGGAGAAUGGGCAGCAUAUUCGACCGAUUGAAAAACUAUGUUAUAUUUCUUUUUUAGUUAGCUUAUUUCAUUAAGCAAAAAUAGCCGUCGAGAAUGGGGCAUCUCGAGUAUUAACCUACCUCAGGGUGACUACCGUAGAACGCCUCUGCCAAAGAAUUUACUGAGGCAAUAACUAAACAAGUUAGAUUUUAAAACGAGCUUGAUCUAGUUAACAUACUAUACAUGCUUAGCUGAUUGCAUUGUUCCACUGAAUGUUGAUGUACGAAAUCUGUGAACUUCAAUAGCAAUGUUUCAGGAUCCUCUAACGGAUGAAAUGGUAAAGUUCCUUGAAAUUCCAUAUUGGCAACCAUUCAUGAAUCAUUUAUGGAUAAGACAAAUACUCUCAAAAAUCGUUUGUAAUGUUUAGGUAUAUGAAUUUCCUUCCUCUAAUGAUUUAAUGAUUACUACCGCGCUCGCUGUAUUGUGAUGGUAUAAUUUCACAUUUUGGGUACUUACGA